rnacentral:rRNA from 1 species
AAGACCCAAUUUUUAGCCCGGAUAAUACGACCAAUAGGUUUAAAUCCAAAGAAAAUGGCGGUAUUUCAUAUAAUCAGGGGAACCUGGUUCUUAAUUCGAUACUCCACGAAAUCCAAACCUAAUUUUGCAAUUCCCACCCUGUGUACUGCUGUCGCCAGUCAACCUCUAAAAGAUAGUUGACAUAAAAUAUAUUUUCCUUAUUUAAGUCAAGUCAAAGUGCGCCUAAUAAUUUGGAGAAAGGGGGGUACAAUCUCAAUAAAAAUACAAAUAAUCUUUUUUAAAAAAAAUUUAAAGGGGGACUUGUUAUUAAUGAUCUCAAAACACUAUCUUUUAUAUUUAUUCUGAAAUACGUACAAAUUCCCCGGCCCUUUCUUUUUAAAAUG